rnacentral:rRNA from 2 species
UGGGGAAUAUUGGGCAAUGGGCGAAAGCCUGACCCAGCAACGCCGCGUGAAGGAAGAAGGUUUUCGGAUUGUAAACUUCUGUCCUCAGGGAAGAAGGAAGUGACGGUACCCAAGGAGGAAGCUCCGGCUAACUACGUGCCAGCAGCCGCGGUAAUACGUAGGGAGCGAGCGUUGUCCGGAAUUACUGGGCGUAAAGGGUGCGUAGGCGGCAAAGCAAGUCAGAUGUGAAAUCCCCGGGCUUAACUCGGGGGGUGCAUUUGAAACUGCAUUGCUUGAGUGCAGGAGAGGAAAGCGGAAUUCCUAGUGUAGCGGUGAAAUGCGUAGAUAUUAGGAAGAACACCAGUGGCGAAGGCGGCUUUCUGGACUGUAACUGACGCUGAGGCACGAAAGCGUGGGGAGCAAACAGG